CGAAUGGGGAAUUCGCCCUUCCGAAUGGGGAAACCCAGUCUUAGGACUAUCCGAAAGGAAGCUAACCCGGAGAACUGAAACAUCUAAGUACCCGGAGGAAAAGAAAUCAACCGAGAUUCCCUGAGUAGCGGCGAGCGAAAGGGGACUAGCCCUUAAGCAACUUGUGUUUUAAGAGAACAGUCUGGGAAGGCUGGCCAUAGUGGGUGAUAGCCCCGUAUCUGAAAAGGCACUUGUUGUGAAAUCGAGUAGGUCGGGACACGAGAAAUCUUGACUGAAUAUGGGGGGUCCGUCCUCCAAGGCUAAAUC
rnacentral:rRNA from 1 species